GAUGAUUCUUGAGAAAUGGUGGGAUAUAGUGAGAAUGAGACGAAGCAAAAAUGCCAUACAUCUGCUUACUAAGGUUGCAUAUUAAAGAAGUGAAAAAAGAUAGUAAUCUGCGAUAAAUAAGUUCUGGAUUUAUCACGAAUAUUAAUCAAUAGUGUGCUUAUAAAUAUAAAAGUAUUAGCUGAAGUAAUAAUUGUUUUUAAAUUAUUUUAGUAAUAAUGGCGGUAACAUGUAAAAAAAAAUAAUAAAUCAAUGCAAGGCUGACUUAGUAGACACUAUUGACCCUGAAUUGUAAUAUUUGCAUGAGGCAUCAUAGCACGAAGAAUAUUGAUGCCACUUUCAAGAGAAGAGUUACCCACAUUGAUUUGUUCUGUAAUAUCUCUAUUCUGGAUACCUUGAAUAAUUCCAGCUUGAACAUCCGAGAAAGUUUUUCUAUUAUUGGAUGCACAAUUUUGGCCCAAUUGAUUAGAGAAGAUAGAGUGAAAGUGCUGACCAUUUUCCAGUGAGUUUAAACUUAUAAGAGGAUUUUGUCUAUCUUGCAUAUGAAUAGGGCCUUCACAAGUCUCCUCAAUCAUUUUUUCAAUAUUAUUUUUAAUUUCAAGUUCAAAUAAGUCAUUUUCUGGAUUAAUAUUAUCAUUGUAUUCUACAAGCUUUUGGGGAAUGGCGCCAUCUAUUGCAUAUAAUUGGUUUUGAAUUUGUGCCUGAUUGAACUGAAUAUGACUAUCAAGUUGGUGGUUUGAAAUAAUAGGAUGUGGGAACUUUUGCAUAUGUAUUUCAUGCAUAUGCAAAUUAUUGUUUCUAUGGAAUUCCAAGUUCAUAGGUUUUUCCUCUUUUUCUUGGUUAAUAUUAGGGGUCGGGUAGUAGUAAAUACUGUUUGGAAUAGUUUGGGUAAUGUUUUGAAGAUUUUCAUGCAUUCCAACUGGGCAGCCAUUUCCCGCCUUCUGGAGAUUGUUACUUCCAAAGUUGAUAGAACUGAAGCUUUCAAUAUUAGUGUCAAUUUGAAUUCCGCCUUUAGUAUUAGAGCUGGUUUGAAUUUUCUCAUCCUCUUCUAUUCCCUUAAUUUUCCUAUUCUCUAUUUGGUUAUCCUCUCCUAUUAUAUUUUCCCUUUUAUAUUCAUAAUUUGGUUUUUCAUUAACUAAAUGGACUUGUUCUUGUUCAUGGAUUGAUUGAGUUUCAUGGUUAUUUUGAGAAAUUUUACAUUCUUCAGGAGUUUCUUGGGAGGUGGGUGUAUUUUGAUCAUUGGAUGAUGCUUCAAUGGGCUCUUGACUAUCAUGUUGCUUAUUACUGACUUCUUGCUCAUUUAAUUCCCUGAUUUCAUCUUCGUUCUUAUCUGUAGAGUUAUAAUUUUGGUUAUUAGUAUUGGAAUAUGGUCUUCUACCUUUGCUUUUAAUUGCCCUUCUAUCCUUGUUAUACAUUUCAUGUCCGUUCUUGGCAUUUUGUUUAAGUUCCCUUAAAGGCUUUAGGGCAAAUUUAUUAGAUGAAUGAAAGUUUAUAAGUUCAGAUUUACUAAUACAAUCAUUAGGAUCAACAAUUUCAUGAACAUAAGCACAGUUUGGAUUAUUACAUACAGAAUUUCUGAUAAAGC
rnacentral:antisense_RNA from 1 species